rnacentral:tRNA from 1 species
GGUGGCAUAGCCAAGCGGUAAGGCAGAAGCCUGCAAAGCUUCCAUCCUCGGUUCGAUUCCGAGUGCCACCU